rnacentral:rRNA from 1 species
UACGUAGGUGGCAAGCGUUGUCCGGAUUUAUUGGGCGUAAAGCGAGCGCAGGCGGUUCCUUAAGUCUGAUGUGAAAGCCCCCGGCUCAACCUGGGAAUUUCAUUGGAAACUGGGGAACUUGAGUGCAGAAGAGGGGAGUGGAAUUCCAUGUGUAGCGGUGAAAUGCGUAGAUAUAUGGAGGAACACCAGUGGCGAAGGCGACUCUCUGGUCUGUUACUGACGCUGAGGCUCGAAAGCGUGGGGAGCAAACAGG